CCAGUCAGAAAUGCUUCACAGGCAGAAUGCACAUCAAGCAAUGCAUUAGAAAGCAUAAGCGGAUAUCACUCGAUUAUUUAAAAUGUCGAUCAUGAUUACCUGCAGUCACCGGUCAUAACAUUAGGUACACCUGCGUCAUUCAUUAACAGAGGCAAAACAAGGUACAAUUCAUACUUCUAUGUUUCAUCAAGCAAAGGAUUCGUCAAUGGAGCGAGUGCAUGUCUGAGUAUUAAAGUGCAAUCCUUCACACUCAUUAACUGUAGAU